GCUGGCAUGGUUUAGUGGUUUGAAUGUUGGACUCCAACUCUAGAGACCAGGGUUUGAAUCCCUGCUUAGCC